GCAGUGGUGGCUGAACGGUUAAGGCUCUGGGUUACUGAUUGGAAGGUCAGGGAUUCAAGCCCCUGCACUGCU